GAGCUUGCUCUCGGGUGACGAGCGGCGGACGGGUGAGUAAUGUCUGGGAAACUGCCUGAUGGAGGGGGAUAACUACUGGAAACGGUAGCUAAUACCGCAUAAUGUCGCAAGACCAAAGUGGGGGACCUUCGGGCCUCAUGCCAUCAGAUGUGCCCAGAUGGGAUUAGCUAGUAGGUGGGGUAACGGCUCACCUAGGCGACGAUCCCUAGCUGGUCUGAGAGGAUGACCAGCCACACUGGAACUGAGACACGGUCCAGACUCCUACGGGAGGCAGCAGUGGGGAAUAUUGCACAAUGGGCGCAAGCCUGAUGCAGCCAUGCCGCGUGUGUGAAGAAGGCCUUCGGGUUGUAAAGCACUUUCAGCGGGGAGGAAGGCGAUAAGGUUAAUAACCUUGUCGAUUGACGUUACCCGCAGAAGAAGCACCGGCUAACUCCGUGCCAGCAGCCGCGGUAAUACGGAGGGUGCAAGCGUUAAUCGGAAUUACUGGGCGUAAAGCGCACGCAGGCGGUCUGUCAAGUCGGAUGUGAAAUCCCCGGGCUCAACCUGGGAACUGCAUUCGAAACUGGCAGGCUAGAGUCUUGUAGAGGGGGGUAGAAUUCCAGGUGUAGCGGUGAAAUGCGUAGAGAUCUGGAGGAAUACCGGUGGCGAAGGCGGCCCCCUGGACAAAGACUGACGCUCAGGUGCGAAAGCGUGGGGAGCAACAGGAUAGAUACCCUGGUAGUCACGCCGUAA
rnacentral:rRNA from 1 species